rnacentral:lncRNA from 1 species
CAAGGAAGAAGCCCAGCCCUUGGUCACCAAAUACAAAGAGGAGGCCAGGAAACUCCUUCCACCCUCCGAAAAACGAGCCAACCGCCGCAACAACCGCAACAAACGCAACCGCCAGAACCGCAACCGCGGCCAGGGCUACGGUGAGACCCUGCUGGGGGGCUGGGGGGGGACCUGGGCCUCAUUUCGGGGGUCCUGUGCCCUCCUUUCGGGGGAUUGGUAGACCUGGACCUCAUUUUCGGGGUCCUGUGUCCUCCUUUUUGGGGUCAGACCUCUAUUUGGGGGUCCUGUGCCCUCCUUUUGGGGUUUUCGGGGGNNNNNNNNNNNNNNNNNNNNNNNNNNNNNNNNNNNNNNNNNNNNNNNNNNNNNNNNNNNNNNGGGGGUAGGACCUCAAUUUGGGGGUCCUAUUCUAUCCUUUUGGGGGUUGGACAUCAUUUUGGGGGUCCUGUCCCUUCCAUCUGCGGUUUUUGGGGGUCGUGGACCUCAAUUUGGGGAUCCUGUGCCCUCCUUUUGGGGGCUUUGUACCUCCUGGAGUUCAUGGUGGGGGUCCUGUGUCCUCCAUCUAGGGGUUGGACCUCAAUUUGGGGGUCCUGUGCCCUCCUUUUGGGGGUUUUGUGUGUCCUGGACCUCAUUUUGGGGGUCCUGUCCCUUCCAUUUGGGGUUUUCGGGGGUCCUGGAGCUCAAUUUGGGGGUUCUGUCCCCUCUUCUGGGGGGAUUGGCAGACCUGGACCUCAUUUGGGGGUCCUGUGCCCUCCUUUUGGGGGCUUUGUACCUCCUGGAGUUCAUGGUGGGGGUCCUGUGUCCUCCAUCUGGGGGUCGGACCUCAUUUUGGGGCUCUUGGACCUCAAUUUGGGGGUCCAGUGCCCUCCUUUUGGGGUUUUUGGGGGGUCCUGGACCUCAUUUUGUGGGGUUCUGUGUCCUCCUUUUGGGGGUCGGACCUCAAUUUGGGGGUCCUAUUACAUCCUUUUGGGGGUUGGACGUCAUUUCAGGGAUCCUGUCCCUUCCAUUUGGGGUUUUUGGGGGGUCCUGGACCUCAAUUUGGGGGUUCUGUCCCCUCUUUUUGGGGGAUUGGCAGACGUGGACCUCAUUUGGGGGUCCUGUGUCCUCCAUCUAGGGGUCGGACCUCAGUUUGGGGGUCCUGCGCCCUCCUUUUGGGGUUUUUGGGGGUCCUGGACCUCAAUUUGGGGGUCCUGUUCCCUCUUUUUGGGAGAUUGGUAGACCUGGACCUCAUUUUGGGGGUCCUGUGCCCUCCUUUUGGAGGUCGGACCUCAAUUUGGGGGUCCUAUUCCAUCCUUUUGGGGUUUGGACAUCAUUUUGGGCUCAUUCCCCCUCAUUUUGGCCUCAUUUCUGCUCCCCAACCCCCCAAUUUUCCCCCAAUUCCCCCUCAUUUUGGCCUCAUUUCCGCUCCCCAAU